UGGUAAUCUAUCUCUGUCAGGUGAUUGGUUUAUAGGAACAGCACACUAGUAUCUAAUGUUGGGUCUAGGAUUGGGUCUUAGUGGUAAUCUAUCUCUGUCAGGUGAUUGGUUUAUAGGAACAGCACACUAGUAUCUAAUGUUGGGUCUAGGAUUGGGUCUUAGUGGUAAUCUAUCUCUGUCAGGUGAUUGGUUUAUAGGAACAGCACACUAGUAUCUAAUGUUGGGUCUAGGAUUGGGUCUUAGUGGUAAUCUAUCUCUGUCAGGUGAUUGGUUUAUAGGAACAGCACACUAGUAUCUAAUGUUGGGUCUAGGAUUGGGUCUUAGUGGUAAUCUAUCUCUGUCAGGUGAUUGGUUUAUAGGAACAGCACACUAGUAUCUAAUGUUGGGUCUAGGAUUGGGUCUUAGUGGUAAUCUAUCUCUGUCAGGUGAUUGGUUUAUAGGAACAGCACACUAGUAUCUAAUGUUGGGUCUAGGAUUGGGUCUUAGUGGUAAUCUAUCUCUGUCAGGUGAUUGGUUUAUAGGAACAGCACACUAGUAUCUAAUGUUGGGUCUAGGAUUGGGUCUUAGUGGUAAUCUAUCUCUGUCAGGUGAUUGGUUUAUAGGAACAGCACACUAGUAUCUAAUGUUGGGUCUAGGAUUGGGUCUUAGUGGUAAUCUAUCUCUGUCAGGUGAUUGGUUUAUAGGAACAGCACACUAGUAUCUAAUGUUGGGUCUAGGAUUGGGUCUUAGUGGUAAUCUAUCUCUGUCAGGUGAUUGGUUUAUAGGAACAGCACACUAGUAUCUAAUGUUGGGUCUAGGAUUGGGUCUUAGUGGUAAUCUAUCUCUGUCAGGUGAUUGGUUUAUAGGAACAGCACACUAGUAUCUAAUGUUGGGUCUAGGAUUGGGUCUUAGUGGUAA